rnacentral:rRNA from 1 species
AUUGAACGCUGGCGGCAUGCCUUACACAUGCAAGUCGAACGGCAGCACGGGUGCUUGCACCUGGUGGCGAGUGGCGAACGGGUGAGUAAUACAUCGGAACAUGUCCUGUAGUGGGGGAUAGCCCGGCGAAAGCCGGAUUAAUACCGCAUACGAUCUACGGAUGAAAGCGGGGGACCUUCGGGCCUCGCGCUAUAGGGUUGGCCGAUGGCUGAUUAGCUAGUUGGGGGGGUAAAGGCCUACCAAGGCGACGAUCAGUAGCUGGUCUGAGAGGGCGACCAGCCACACGGGGACUGAGACACGGCCCAGACUCCUACGGGAGGCAGCAGUGGGGAAUUUUGGACAAUGGGCGAAAGCCUGAUCCAGCAAUGCCGCGUGUGUGAAGAAGGCCUUCGGGUUGUAAAGCACUUUUGUCCGGAAAGAAAUCCUUGGCUCUAAUACAGUCGGGGGAUGACGGUACCGGAAGAAUAAGCACCGGCUAACUACGUG